rnacentral:rRNA from 1 species
AGCGGCGGACGGGUGAGUAACGCGUGGGUAACCUGCCUCAUACAGGGGGAUAACAGUUGGAAACGGCUGCUAAUACCGCAUAAGCGCACAGUACCGCAUGGUACGGUGUGAAAAACUCCGGUGGUAUGAGAUGGACCCGCGUCUGAUUAGCUAGUUGGUGGGGUAACGGCCUACCAAGGCGACGAUCAGUAGCCGGCCUGAGAGGGUGAACGGCCACAUUGGAACUGAGACACGGUCCAA